UGGGGUAUAGCCAAGUGGUAAGGCAUCGGACUUUGACUCCGCCAUUCGUAGGUUCAAGUCCUACUACCCCAG
rnacentral:tRNA from 1 species